rnacentral:rRNA from 1 species
GACGAACGCUGGCGGCGUGCUUAACACAUGCAAGUCGAACGGAAAGGCCUUGCUCUUGCGGGGUGCUCGAGUGGCGAAAGGGUGAGUAAAACGUGUGUAACCCGCCCUCGACUUUGGGAUAACAUCCGGAAACUGGGGCUAAUACCGGAUAGGAGCUCCUGCUGCACGGUGGGGGUUGGAAAGUUUCGGCGGUUGGGGAUGGACUCGCGGCUUAUCAGCUUGUUGGUGGGGUAGUGGCUUACCAAGGCUUUGACGGGUAGCCGGCCUGAGAGGGUGACCGGCCACAUUGGGACUGAGAUACGGCCCAGACUCCUACGGGAGGCAGCAGUGGGGAAUAUUGCACAAUGGGCGGAAGCCUGAUGCAGCAACGCCGCGUGCGGGAUGACGGCCUUCGGGUUGUAAACCGCUUUCGCCAGGGACGAAGCGUGAGUGACGGUAAUUGGUGAAGAAGCACCGGCUAACUACGUG